rnacentral:lncRNA from 1 species
UCUUGCUGGCGUUACAAGGGUCCCCCGGCCCGGGCCGCGGUUUCUACAUGAACAGGAAUGCACGUCGUGCUCACCACCUUGUAACCACACACAACACGUCCGGGAGAUGAGGUAGACGCUUGCGGCCUCAGACUAGAGACGUGGCGUGGGCGCAGCCCACUUUUCCGUUGCGAGGAGGACAGCAUAUCUUGUCAUAGUAAUGUCAUGGCAAUGUCGAAGUAUGCGGCGUCCUUGGUGACAUCGUACCGAAGCUGGGACAUGACGGCGUGCGCCAGGUCGGCGUUAUGCUGGGUGAGGAAUGCAUGCAUGUUCUCGAAGGUGAUGGCGGCGUAGU